GAUGAACGCUAGCGGCAGGCUUAACACAUGCAAGUCGAGGGGUAUAGGUUUUCGGACCUAGAGACCGGCGCACGGGUGCGUAACGCGUAUGCAAUCUACCUUUCACAGAGGGAUAGCCCAGAGAAAUUUGGAUUAAUACCUCAUAGUAUAGCAGUUUCGCAUGAAACCACUAUUAAAGUUCCAACGGUGAAAGAUGAGCAUGCGUCCCAUUAGCUAGAUGGUAAGGUAACGGCUUACCAUGGCUACGAUGGGUAGGGGUCCUGAGAGGGAGAUCCCCCACACUGGUACUGAGACACGGACCAGACUCCUACGGGAGGCAGCAGUGAGGAAUAUUGGUCAAUGGACGCAAGUCUGAACCAGCCAUGCCGCGUGCAGGAUGACGGUCCUAUGGAUUGUAAACUGCUUUUGUACGAGAAGAAACAUUCCGACGUGUCGGAACUUGACGGUAUCGUAAGAAUAAGGAUCGGCUAACUCCGUGCCAGCAGCCGCCGUAAGAC
rnacentral:rRNA from 1 species